UACGUAGGGGGCUAGCGUUGUUCGGAUUUACUGGGCGUAAAGGGCGCGUAGGCGGCCACCGCAAGUCGACUGUGAAAUCUCCGGGCUUAACCCGGAAAGGUCAGCCGAUACUGCGGGGCUAGAGUGCAGAAGGGGCAACUGGAAUUCUCGGUGUAGCGGUGAAAUGCGUAGAUAUCGAGAGGAACACCUGCGGCGAAGGCGGGUUGCUGGGCUGACACUGACGCUGAGGCGCGAAAGCUAGGGGAGCGAACGGG
rnacentral:rRNA from 1 species